rnacentral:pre_miRNA from 1 species
CAGUUUUGUCCUAAAUUCAAAUUUCUCUAACUUUGACCAAGAUUUUAGAAAAAAAUAUUAACAUAUACAAAUUCAAAUAAAUGCAACACCAGGACAUACUCAUGGAGAAUUUAAUGAAACUAAUUCGAUACUGUAGAUGUUGAUGUGCCUUUCUAUAAACUUGGUCAAAGUUAGAGAGUUUUGAUUUAGGACAAAGCUAA